CGUGUCGUGAGAUGUUGGGUUAAGUCCCGCAACGAGCGCAACCCUUAUCUUUAGUUGCCAGCAUUCAGUUGGGCACUCUAGAGAGACUGCCGUCGACAAGACGGAGGAAGGCGGGGAUGACGUCAAAUCAUCAUGCCCCUUAUGACCUGGGCUACACACGUGCUACAAUGGUUGGUACAACGGGACGCUAGCCCGCGAGGGUAUGCCAAUCUCUUAAAACCAAUCUCAGUUCGGAUUGUAGGCUGCAACUCGCCUACAUGAAGUCGGAAUCGCUAGUAAUCGCGGAUCAGCAUGCCGCGGUGAAUACGUUCCCGGGCCUU
rnacentral:rRNA from 1 species